AGGGUGCAGGGCGGAUGCCUUGGCACUAGGAGCCGAUGAAGGACGUGAUAAGCUGCGAUAAGCUUCGGGGAGUUGCACGUAAACUUUGAUCCGAAGAUUUCCGAAUGAGGAAACUCACUUAGAGUAAUGUCUAAGUAUCAUUAAGUGAAUACAUAGCUUAAUGAGGGGAACUCAGGGAACUGAAACAUCUAAGUACCUGAAGGAAGAGAAAGAAAUUCGAUUCCGUAAGUAGCGGCGAGCGAACGCGGAUUAGCCCAAACCAAUAAAGUUUUCUUUAUUGGGGUUGCGGACAUAUCAUAACGGAGAGGUAUCGUAAUUGAAGAGGUUUGGAAAGACCCACCACAGAAGGUAAUAGUCCUGUAUGUUAAACGAGAAGACUUUAGAUAUGAUCCAGAGUACCACGGGACACGUGAAACCCUGUGGGAAGCAGGAGGGACCACCCUCCAAGGCUAAAUACUACCUAGUGACCGAUAGCGUAUAGUACCGUGAGGGAAAGGUGAAAAGAACCCCGGGAGGGGAGUGAAAUAGAACCUGAAACCCUGCACUUACAAGCUGUGGAAGCACAUUUCUUGUGUGACCGCGUACUUUUUGUAGAACGGGCCAACGAGUUACGUUAAGUAGCAAGGUUAAGCACUUAAGGUGUGGAGCCGUAGCGAAAGCGAGUUUUAACUGAGCGUUCAGUUACUUGAUGUAGACCCGAAACCGGGCGACCUACCCAUGAGCAGGAUGAAGCGAAAGUAAAAUUUCGUGGAGGUCCGAACCCACGAGCGUUGAAAAGCUCGGGGAUGACUUGUGGGUAGCGGUGAAAUUCCAAUCGAGCCCGGAGAUAGCUGGUUCUCCCCGAAAUAGCUUUAGGGCUAGCCUCAAGGUGAGAGAUACGGAGGUAGAGCACUGAAUGUCCUAGGGGGUAUUGCACCUACCGAAGACUAUCAAACUCCGAAUGCCGUCAUCUUAUACUUGGGAGUCAGACUGUGGGUGAUAAGAUUCAUAGUCGAAAGGGCAACAGCCCAGAUCGUCAGCUAAGGUCCCUAAAUGUAAGUUAAGUGGUAAAGGAUGUGGGAUUGCACAGACAACCAGGAUGUUGGCUUAGAAGCAGCCACUCAUUCAAAGAGUGCGUAAUAGCUCACUGGUCGAGUGAUCCUGCGCCGAAGAUUUCCGGGGCUAAAACUUACUACCGAAGCUACGGCAUCAGUAAUGAUGGGUAGGGGAGCUUCCCAUACGGGUUGAAGCAUGACCGUAAGGACAUGUGGACAGUAUGGGAGUGAGAAUGUUGGCAUGAGUAGCGAGAUGUGGGUGAGAAUCCCACAGGCCGUAAACCCAAGGUUUCCAGGGGAAGGUUCGUCCGCCCUGGGUUAGUCGGGACCUAAGCUGAGGCCGAAAGGCGUAGGUGAUGGACAACAGGUUGAUAUUCCUGUACUACCGAUAACCGUUUGAGAGAAGGGAUGACACAGUAGGAUAAGCUAAGCACACUGUUGGUUAUGUGUGCCCAAGCAUUGAGGCAGUCAAAGUAGGCAAAUCCGCUUUGAUAAUGCUGGGAUGUGAUGGGGAGCGAAAUUUAGUAGCGAAGUAGCUGAUUUCACACUGUCAAGAAAAGUCUCUAUCGAGGUUAAAGGUACCCGUACCGCAAACCGACACAGGUGGGUGAGGAGAGUAUCCUAAGGCCAGCGAGAGAACUGUUGUUAAGGAACUCGGCAAAAUGACCCCGUAACUUAGGGAUAAGGGGUGCCACCAUCAGGUGGCCGCAGAGAAUAGGCCCAAGCGACUGUUUACCAAAAACAUAGGUUUCUGCUAAGUCGCAAGACGAUGUAUAGGAGCUGACGCCUGCCCGGUGCUGGAAGGUUAAGGGGAUCUGUUAGAGCAAUCGAAGCAGUGAACUUAAGCCCCAGUAAACGGCGGCCGUAACUAUAACGGUCCUAAGGUAGCGAAAUUCCUUGUCGGGUAAGUUCCGACCCGCACGAAAGGCGUAACGAUUUGGGCACUGUCUCAACAACAGACUCGGUGAAAUUGUAAUUCCGGUGAAGAUGCCGGAUACCUGCGACAGGACGGAAAGACCCCAUGGAGCUUUACUGUAGCUUGACAUUGGGUCUUGGUACUACAUGUACAGGAUAGGUGGGAGGCUUUGAAACCAGGACGCCAGUUUUGGCGGAGCCAUCCUUGGGAUACCACCCUUGUAGUACUGGGACUCUAACCAUAGGCCAUGAAUCUGGUCUUGGGACACUGUCAGGUGGGCAGUUUGACUGGGGCGGUCGCCUCCCAAAAGGUAACGGAGGCGCUCAAAGGUUCUCUCAGUACGGUCGGAAAUCGUACGUAGAGUGUAAAGGCAAAAGAGAGCUUGAUUGCAAGACAUACAGGUCGAGCAAGGAUGAAAAUCGGACUUAGUGAUCCGGUGGUUCUGCGUGGAAGGGCCAUCGCUCAACGGAUAAAAGCUACCCUGGGGAUAACAGGCUUAUCUCCCCCAAGAGUCCACAUCGACGGGGAUGUUUGGCACCUCGAUGUCGGCUCAUCACAUCCUGGGGCUGUAGUAGGUCCCAAGGGUUGGGCUGUUCGCCCAUUAAAGUGGUACGCGAGCUGGGUUCAGAACGUCGUGAGACAGUUCGGUCCCUAUCCGUCGCAGGCGUAGGAAAUUUGAGAAGACCUGUCCUUAGUACGAGAGGACCGGGAUGGACGUACCUCUGGUGUACCAGUUGUCCUGCCAAGGGCAUGGCUGGGUAGCUAUGUACGGAAUGGAUAAGCGCUGAAAGCAUCUAAGCGCGAAGCCAACUUCAAGAUAAGAUUUCCCACCGUAAGGGUAAGACCCCAGAAAGACUAUCUGGUUGA
rnacentral:rRNA from 1 species